rnacentral:rRNA from 1 species
GCGCAAGCCUGAUGCAGCCAUGCCGCGUGUGUGAAGAAGGCCUUCGGGUUGUAAAGCACUUUCAGUCGUGAGGAAGGUAGUGUAGUUAAUAGCUGCAUUAUUUGACGUUAGCGACAGAAGAAGCACCGGCUAACUCCGUGCCAGCAGCCGCGGUAAUACGGAGGGUGCGAGCGUUAAUCGGAAUUACUGGGCGUAAAGCGCAUGCAGGUGGUUUGUUAAGUCAGAUGUGAAAGCCCGGGGCUCAACCUCGGAAUAGCAUUUGAAACUGGCAGACUAGAGUACUGUAGAGGGGGGUAGAAUUUCAGGUGUAGCGGUGAAAUGCGUAGAGAUCUGAAGGAAUACCGGUGGCGAAGGCGGCCCCCUGGACAGAUACUGACACUCAGAUGCGAAAGCGUGGGGAGCAAACAGGAUUAGAUACCCUGGUAGUCCACGCCGUAAACGAUGUCUACUUGGAGGUUGUGGCCUUGAGCCGUGGCUUUCGGAGCUAACGCGUUAAGUAGACCGCCUGGGGAGUACGGUCGCAAGAUUAAAACUCAAAUGAAUUGACGGGGGCCCGCACAAGCGGUGGAGCAUGUGGUUUAAUUCGAUGCAACGCGAAGAACCUUACCUACUCUUGACAUCCAGAGAACUUUCCAGAG